rnacentral:rRNA from 1 species
CCAGACUCCUACGGGAGGCAGCAGUGGGGGAUAUUGCACAAUGGGGGAAACCCUGAUGCAGCGACGCCGCGUGUGGGAAGACGGUCCUCUGGAUUGUAAACCACUGUCCCCAGGGACGAAGAUGACGGUACCUGGGGAGGAAGCUCCGGCUAACUACGUGCCAGCAGCCGCGGUAAUACGUAGGGAGCGAGCGUUGUCCGGAAUUACUGGGUGUAAAGGGAGCGUAGGCGGGACUGCAAGUUGGGUGUCAAAUCUACCGGCUCAACCGGUAGCCGCACUCAAAACUGCAGUUCUUGAGUGAAGUAGAGGCAGGCGGAAUUCCUAGUGUAGCGGUGAAAUGCGUAGAUAUUAGGAGGAACACCAGUGGCGAAAGCGCUUUACUGGACCAUUAUUGACGCUGAGGAACGAAAGCCAGGGGAGCAAAUGGGAUUAGAUACCCCGGUA